rnacentral:rRNA from 1 species
AGUGAACGCUGGCGGCGUGCUUAACACAUGCAAGUCGAGGGGCAGCAUAGAAGUAGCAAUACUUUGGUGGCGACCGGCGCACGGGUGAGUAACGCGUAUGCAACCUACCUAUCAGAGGGGAAUAACCCGGCGAAAGUCGGACUAAUACCGCAUAAAACAGGGGCACCGCAUGGUGAUAUUUGUUAAAGAAAUUCGCUGAUAGAUGGGCAUGCGUUCCAUUAGGUAGUUGGUGAGGUAACGGCUCACCAAGCCGACGAUGGAUAGGGGAACUGAGAGGUUGGUCCCCCACACUGGUACUGAGACACGGACCAGACUCCUACGGGAGGCAGCAGUGAGGAAUAUUGGUCAAUGGGCGGGAGCUUGAACCAGCCAAGUCGCGUGAAGGAAUAAGGAUCUAUGGUUCGUAAACUUCUUUUGCAGGGGAAUAAAGUGCAGGACGUGUCCUGUUUUGUAUGUACCCUGAGAAUAAGGAUCGGCUAACUCCGUGCCAGCAGCCGCCGUAA